rnacentral:misc_RNA from 1 species
GGAAACGCUCAUUUGUUGAGCCUCUACCUUUCGGUUCUCUUGGAACAAGACGGAAGAUAGUCAAUCUUACCGUCGCGCAUACCUGAAGCGGGUCUGCCGCCUUCGUUUCUCUUUCUUCAGCGAAUGACUUUGGAUUGCGCUCGCGCGCCGUACCGCACCCUUCGGGUGCUGGCGCUCCGCGAGGGCGCGGCACGAGCCGCGACGGCCGGUCGGCCUUGCGAGGCUCUGCCUCGAAGCUGAUCGCCAUCUGCGCUUGGGGCUAAGGGCUUGUAGCUCAGUUGGUUAGAGCGCGCGCUUGAUAAGCGUGAGGUCGGAGGUUCAAGUCCUCCCAGGCCCACCAUUCCUUUCGACACGAAGGUUAUCAGGGGCCGUAGCUCAGCUGGGAGAGCGCCUGCUUUGCAAGCAGGAUGUCGUCGGUUCGAUCCCGUCCGGCUCCACCAACACGCGAUCCGCAAGGAUCGUCGUGCAGCGCGAUCGCAAGAUUGCUGCGUGGGUGUGGAAAUGGUGAGAAAAAAGUCAUUCGUAAAAAGAGUUUGCGCCGAGCUUCUUGGCUCUGCGCCUGUUCUGUUUGACAUCGUAAAGAGAAGAUUUGUUCGAACUUCAUGGCUGUAAAGCUGUGAUUUGUCGCAAGGGACGCUCAAUCCCUUGCCUAUGAUGGGUUUGCCUAACCGCGCCCUCGAACGGAUCUCGAGAAGCUGGUCUUUUUGUGCCAAUUCCAAGCAGUAAUAUCCCGCACAGGGUAUUGCUGGAGCGACGAUCCCUUCGGGAUCGCGCGGAUGGGUAUUGGCAAUGAGAACGAUCAAGUGUCUUAAGGGCAAUUGGUGGAUGCCUUGGCAUGCACAGGCGAUGAAGGACGUGAUACGCUGCGAUAAGCUACCGGGAGGUGCGAAUACCCUUUGAUCCGUA